UGGUGUGAUUCCUCAGAGGGGCUUUCGAAGGUUCCAGCCACUUCAUUUCUCUAUGUCUUCCUUUUGUUCUGAGGUAAGUUAUCUUUCUUGCCCAUCUAUUUUCUUGUUCUUUCCUUUUUCCUCUAGACUGCCUUCUAGCCUCUUUAUUUGGGAAUGGCUGAUCAGAGUGAGGUUGGGCCCAAUGGCCAUGGUUCCAUACU
rnacentral:lncRNA from 1 species